GGGAAUAUGGCUUAGUGGUAGAGUACUUGCUUCGCAUGCAUGAAGCCCUGGGUUCUAAUCCUCAGUACCA
rnacentral:tRNA from 1 species